rnacentral:rRNA from 1 species
AUGAACGCUGGCGGCGUGCUUAACACAUGCAAGUCGAACGAGAAGUGAAGACGGAAACCUUCGGGCGGAAGGCUUUAUUUCGAGUGGCGGACGGGUGAGUAACGCGUGGGUAACCUGCCUCAUACAGGGGGAUAACAGUUGGAAACGACUGUUAAUACCGCAUAAGACCACAGCACCGCAUGGUGCGGGGGUAAAAACUCCGGUGGUAUGAGAUGGACCCGCGUUCGAUUAGCCAGUUGGCGGGGUAACGGCCCACCAAAGCGACGAUCGAUAGCCGAUCUGAGAGGAUGACCGGCCACAUUGGGACUGAGACACGGCCCAAACUCCUACGGGAGGCAGCAGUGGGGAAUAUUGCACAAUGGGGAAAACCCUGAUGCAGCGACGCCGCGUGAGUGAAGAAGUAUUUCGGUAUGUAAAGCUCUAUCAGCAGGGAAGAAAAUGACGGUACCUGAGUAAGAAGCCCCGGCUAACUACGUG